AAAGUAGUAGAUGAAAUAAUUAGAUAUUGGCCUAAAGAAUUGUUCACACAAAGAAAUGCAAAUGUAAAAGCGGAAAAUCUGGCACGCAAAAUUUGUACCAUUCCGGAUCUUGUUAAGUUUGUAAACAAUUUUUCUUCCAAUUGGCUUUUAUGAGUCAAUCUUAUAGUUUUUGUUGGAAAAAAUAAUUGUUCACAUACUUAAACAAAAGAGUUUCGUUGGUACGAUUUGGAGGAAAUACAAAAAGAGUUAGUACUAUAAAAACGAACAUUUUCCGGUUAUUGACUUUCAAAAGAGUUCAAGUUUUUCUUCAUGUGAACGUUAAAAGUUUGGACUAUAAAAAAAUUGAUAUUAAUCAUCGUAGGAUAAGAAGUUAUAUACAAAUUCCAAGUGUUUUAGACUUAAGAUAUUGGGGUUAUAGCAAGACGAACGAAGUAGCCUUUUCAUAUGGCACACCAGGUGGGCAUUGUGGUAUUUGAUGAUUCAUGAAUUUUACAUAUUUAUUGACCAAAAACUAUGUCAAUUUACAAAAGAAAUUAAAGUUGUCUAGACUAUUUUCAUAUUGAACCAUUUCUUUUAGUCUGGGUUAAGGUGUUAAUAGACAAUAUAUAUAUGGAAAGCUUUUAUGUGGGUAGAUAAAAUUUCGUAAUUUAUAAUUUGGGUUGCACCAUUUCCUACAGUUUGGGCUAAGGCCUCAAUAAAUCAAUCUAUACAACAUACUAUCGAUUCCAAGCCCAUAAAGAAUUUGAAGAAUCCAACUUUGAAACGAAAGGCAUUUGUAUAAAUUGUAUCCUAGACUACUCCAUAUGUAUAUGUGAUGAUGUGCAAGAAAAACAGAGCUCAUAAAUAGUCUCAAAAGAUUACAAGUCUACAACAAAAGGAACUCUAAAGACAAAAACAAUCUGAAAUCAAACUUUAAAUUGGGCC
rnacentral:lncRNA from 1 species